AAUAGACCAGCUCGACAAAAGGGGAACUAUCCUACAACCAACUAGCAGGACACGCUCUCCAACCCUUAUGACUUCACCUCUGCAACUCCUCAAGACCAACCAAAGCUAUCUGGCCGCUCCGUCCACCAAGGACCUGAAAUUUUAAUCCCACAACCGGGAUGAGACGAUGUCUCAGCAAGUUCAACCCCCUAAACCCUUAUUAGAAAGAAAAUACGCCCCGGGUGGCCUAGCCACAUCACACAGAAGACUUACCUCGCCUCAGCCUUCAUCUGCAGGUUAGCACAAUUUAUAUAAUUCAACCACGUACAAUUAUGAUAACCAAACAACCAUGUCACAAUCACACUAUCGAAACAAUCCAACCACUCGGAUCGUCUCAGCGAUCAAUCGACUCGGCCGAUUACAUGUCAUUCUAGCAAAUCAAUCAUUGCUCUCAAUCACGGCCCUAUAGGAAGGUUUAACAAUCAGUGGCAAUCACGGCCCCACUCGGCACGACCUCUCCUAGGUGGUACAUCACGGCCCCACUCGGCACGACCUCUCCUAGGUGGUACAUCACGGCCUCACUGGGCAUGACCUCUCAUAGGUGGUUCAUCACGGCCCUAUUAGGCACGACCUCUCAUAGGUGGUCAAUCACGGCCUCACUGGGCACGACCUCUCAUAGGUGGUACAUCACAGCCUCACUGGGCACGACCUCUCAUAGGUGGUUCAUCACGGCCUCACUGGGCACGACCUUUCCUAGGUGGUACGUCACGGCCUCACUGGGCACGACCUUUCCUAGGUGGUACAUCACGGCCAAUCUCUCAUCAAUUUCUACACUUAGGAUUUAUAAAGAAUCCCUAUUUAUCACAAUCACACUCCAUUUGCCACAAUCAAUCAUCAAAUUCAAAUUCUAAAUACACAGCAGCGAUCAGCACGAAAUUUUGAGAGAGUAAGGUUCCAAACUAAUUUUCAGAAUUUAUUAAAUAAUUAAAUUUAUUCCGAAAAUUAAUUAAAUAAUAAUAUCCAUAUUUUCGUCAUCCACACCCAAUUUAUAAUAUCUAACCAUCAAUUUCAAAAUCCGAACGCAUAGCAGCGAUCGGCACGAAAUUCUGAGCAAUCGGGAUCAAAAUUAAAUUUUCCAUUUUUUUUAAUAAUAAUAUUUUAAUAAUUUCGGAAUAUAAUAUAAUAUUAUAAAUUCCAGAAUUUCGAAACAAUUAAAUAAUUCAAAAAUAAAAUCUAUUAUGUCCCAUCAAGGUUUAUUAUUAAUUAAACUCUCUUAGCCUUUAAUUAAACACACUUUAAAUUAAAAAAACCUUUUAAUCCAAAUCAUAAUUAAAUAAACUAAGAUAUCCACCUAAACUUGCUUAACUUAAACUAAGCACACUUAGGGCAUAAUUAACCGUCUAAUCAAGAUUUAGUGAGCUAAACUCACCGGAUUAGUGAGCCGAGCGGAUCAAAACGACGGGAUCGACGCGAGGAUCGACUUUCCUCAAAACGGGCCGAGCAUCCGGGCUCGGGAAGGUGGCCAAAACGGGCCAAAUAGGUGCUGCCAUACCCAUUUUUGCAGCUACUGCUUUGGGGUUGGAGGAGGCGGAUCCGGCGCCGGUUCGGGUCGGAAAAGGCGGAGGAGGACCGGCGGCAGCUUGGGGCGGUGGCUCAUGGCGGCCCGGCAGGCUCCCCGGCGACGGCUGGUGGCUCGGGACGACGGACGAUGGCUGCUGGCGUGCGAACGAAGCACAGAUGGGAGGGCGGAGCAACUCGCACACGAGACGGCGUGCGUGCGGACGAACGGCGACUGCGACGAGCUCCGGCGACAGGCGAGCUGGUCGGGUGAGUGGCGAACGACGGGCUUCUCUGGUUCGCUACUGAAUCUCGAAGCCUUCAAGGCACACCCAAGAAAGAGGAAAGAUGGCCGAACAGCAGGGGGAGAGAGGGGCGGAGCUGCGAGCGGCUGGACAGGCGACGGCCUUCGGCGACGGCGACGAGCGGCGGCGUCGAGCGGGCGAAGGGGCGUGCGGGUUGCUGGUCACGCACGAGCAGCUCCCUUCCUUCCCCUUUCUCUCUCUCUCUCUCUCUGUCUUCCCAAGGUUGAAGAUGAAGUGGUGGGACCUCCUCACUUUUUGAGGACCAAUUAGCAUUUGCCACUUGUCAAGCUCUCCUUCAAUAUGGCCCAACCACCAUGACAUCACAUGAUGUCAUACUCCAAUAUCCCAAAUCUUCCAUAACCUUUCUCCAAUGGGUCCAUUUUAUUUUUCCGCCGAGGCAUGAAACUUUGUACAUCAAUUCCUUCAAUUCCAAUCAAUUCUCUCCCAAUUGAGUUCAAUCGAAGUCCAUAAAUUUAAUCCAAUGUCACCACACUUUAAUUCACAUAUUCACUUGUCCAUAGAACCAACUUAAGUCCCAAAAGCGAGACCAAAUGCGGGCCUACUAAUUUCUCGAGCUAAAUUAACCAUUUUCUGAGUUAAUUGUUGAAAAACUCUAAUUACAUGAAAAAUCUUCUAAAGAUAAGCCAAUGAUCCGGAAAUGAUUUGUGACACACCCAGACUUCCAAUUUCUGAAUUCGAUCUCAAUUCCACGGUUAAUUUCACUUUGGCACGAUACUAGCGCGGCCUAACCUACCGGGUAACCUUUAGAAAUUUUCAUGCAUUUGACCUGCGGUUGAUCAUCUCAAGCCACAAUGUACAUCUUUGAAACAUUGGCGACUUUCGGUUGUCGAGGUAAUCUCAAUGUUUCAAAUACGAACACAGGGUACCCAAUCGAUAGAAAAGUCGGUCCAGUGCCGAUCGACAAGAAUUGUGCGAUCUGGUGGAAUCACCCACACCUGAUCACAUGCCUCUGUCGAGUCGACCUAUCUCCGAUCUCUAAUCGAUUUUAAUCGUGCCGUAAUGACCCUUGCAGAUUAGCUCGGUCGAAAGGUCGCUUCCUGGUCAAAUUCUCGAGUUUGAUGCAUUAGAAACUCUUAACGGCUUCACCCGAUAGACUAGUUUUCGCAUGAGUGGCCAACUCAAGGAAAAGAACUAUAUGCGUGCCAACGAAAUGCCCGUCUCAAUUAAUUGAAAAUAGAAUCGGAAAAUCGGGAUAUCACAACUCUUCCCCUCUUAUAAAAAUUUCGUCCUCGAAAUUUAAACCUUUACCAAUUCUUAGACAAAAAGGUGGGGGUACAGUCGUCUCAUAUAAUCUUCUCUUUCUUAGGUUACUCCUUCUAUACCAAUACUGCCAGAUCACUGCUAUCUUGCCCAAACCACUUUGGAUACAAAAUACUAAACACCUGCCCACUUAAAAUUCCAAAGGUCUUCAGCACAAAAUCUGCGAAGCUAAACUGGCGAUUCUGAGCAGUGUCUAAACUAGCUCUGAUAAUUGCAACUGAAUCACUGGUUUCUGAACCAACUCUGGACCUGCGAUUUUCUGAUCUCUGAUCUCAUCUCAAUAACUGAAGUUCUGAACACUUUGUUCUACAUUGAUUAACAAGAAACUAUCUGACUGAUCUGCUAAAACUGGGAACCUCUAGUCAAGAUCUAACAUAACUCUGCAACUGUAAUCACUGACUAUUGUACUGACCCUGGCCUGUGAUCUUUCUUUCCCUAACUUCAUCUCAGCAAUUGAAAUUCUGCACUCCCUCCCAUGCACUGCUUAAGAAAGAAUCAUCUGAAAGCUUUGCCAACUUGGAACAUCUGAUCUAGAUUGAAAUACAAUUCAUCCCUAACACUCCAUGAAGAUGAUUUAUAUGAUACGCACACACUUCGGUAUACCUAUUCUAAUCGAGAUCUUUUCAUGCUGUACUAAGGUGAGUUGACUCUGAUCAUCUGUCGACUACAACCUCAUAAAGAAUCAAUGCUCUUCCUGACUCCUUAAUAACCUGUCAUAACAUUCCAUCAUGUUAUACUUUCAUUCACACACAAACCUCUCUCCAGUACUUGAAAAAGCUUUCCUAGCUUACAUUACCAAAUUCUCACUUACUGGCACAUCCAACACUUACAACUUGUUCGGCGAUAUCUAUCGUCAUACCGAUCUACCAAUCCCGAUGAUAUAGAUUCUGACUCAUCUUCGCACUAUUUGGACAACGCUGAAGUUGCUAUGAUGAGCUUCCCAUAAGAUCUCUUCUUUAAUCUCCGUAUCGUCAGUUACACACAAUCGUCCUCAGAACCUUAGCGUUUUGCCUUUGGAAAUCUAAAAAAAAUCAAUCUCUCUCUCAUCUGCAUUCUCUUAUAGAAUCUUAUGAAUUUCUAAAUCUGUCCACUGAAGCGAUUUGAUUCUGAUCUGAACUCUCGGCUCAAUUCUAAGGGUAGUCAUAAGAUUCAAAAGGUGGCAUACCUUAGAUUUGAAAACUAAAUUUCGGACUUCCUCAAGUAAGAUCCAAUCCUUGAGUGCCAACUGUACAACUAAGGACUCUCGACUCAGUGCAUCUGCGACUUUGCUCACCUUUCCAGAGUGAUAUAAAAUGUCAUAGUCAUAGUCCUUAAGGAGUUCCAUCCAGCGACGCUGUCUCAUAUUCAACUCCCAAGGUCUCAACUGACGGAACGCAUAUGCCACAACCCUAUCCUGCUGUAUCAACACACAACCCAAUCCUUUAAACGACACAUCACUGCAGACCUCAUAACUUUCAGGACCAAAUGGAAUAGUAAGCACAAGUGCGGUAGUCAGCCUCUCCUUAGGCCCUUGAAAACUACACUCGCACUUAUCUGUCAACACAAACUUUUCUUCCUUCUUCAGAAUUCUUGUCAACAGCGAUGCUAACACUAAAAACUUUUUUACAAACCAUAUGUAAUACCCUGCUAAACUUAGAAAACUUCUUAUCUUUAUCACUACAGUAAAUCUUGGCCAACUGAUCACAGCUUAACUGUUGGACGAGGUCUACGGAGAUUUCUUCGCAUGAAAUCACGUGACCUAGGGGCACAACACGAGUCAUCCAAAACUCGCAUCUAUUAGGCUUAUCGUAAAAUCCAAAAGCACUCGAGGUCUAAAGUACCAUCCUCAAACGUCUCUCGUGCCCCUCGGCACUCUUCGAACACACCAGGAUAACUUCAAUGAACACGAUCACAACUGAUUCAAGUGUCCUUAAACAUUUUGCUCAUCAGACCCAAACAAACAGCUGGGGUGUCCAUUAAAUCACACAGCAUUACAGUAAACUCAUAACUACUGUAUCAAGUGCGAGGUCUUAACUUCGAUAUGUCUUUCUUCCUGAUCCUCAACUGAUGAUACCCUAACCUCAAGUCGAUCUUGAAGAAUAUCAACGUACAAACACAAUGAAUCAACUUUAUCCUUCACGAAUAGAACAGGUGUUCCCUAAGGUGAUGCACUGGAAAGUAUGAAUCCCCUAUCCAACACUUCUUGCAUCUACACCUUCAGUUCUUUUAACUCGGGUAACACCAUCCGGUAAGGAGCCUUAGGGACUGACUCUGUUCCAGGUGCUAAUUCAAUCACGAACUCUAUUUCUCUUUCUGACAACAAACCUGACAAUUCUUCAGAAAAUACCGAAGAAAACUUCUGUACCACGGCUAUGUUCUCCAUGUUCAGCUCAUCAACUGACGCAUCCAUUACAGUUGCCAUGUAGAUUUGGCAACCAACAACUAGAACCAAGGUCGUCUUUAGUGACGAAUAAUAGGGAUCGAACGUCCUUUCUGACUUUUAGUAAUUCAAAACUUUCAUAUGCUAACUGAACAAACUGAAUCAUAUCACUGCCACGAUUCAUAACAGCAGAAAGCUCCUUGAGCCAAACCUUGUCAUAAAUGACUCCCAAGUCAUACAUAAGUAACCCAUUAGGUACAACUAUAGUCAAAUACUCAUCUUCCUAUUACUUUAUUACAACAACGGAAACUCCACAACCUUCACUCAAAAUCCUGUUGCGCUACUAUGAUAAAACACCUCAAAACAUUCUUCCCUUGAUUAAUGCAUAGUCAAUCCAUUAUUAUUCCUUUCGCCAUCCUAGUGGCGUUCUAUCUGCAGUAACAGUGCUUACACUCUCCUGAACUUACACGGACAGUUCUUAACCUGACGGCCAUGCUGGCCACAUUCAAAGCAUGUUUCCUUUUUUACUCUGACACUAGGCUGACUCAAGCCUCCUUUCCACAAACUCGGCACACAAUCAGAGAGUCCUCUACCUCCCAUCAAGUGACAUCAUGCACCCAUCCUUGCACUGAGGUCCAUUCCAAGUACCCCACUAAAUGUCGCGAAGCAUGCUUCUUCUGUUUUGUCUUAUCAACGGCGGUGACAGAAACAGCUAUAGUCCCAUCCAUCUAUACAAGCCAUCUUUGAUCAAAUGGCUUUACUGGCGACACCUGUAACAAGUCAUUUCCCUCUUACAGCACGAAACAGAUCCAUGUCUUUUCUUACAGACACAACACGCAUCGAUCGACUUGAGCACUGACUUUCCAACUCUACUCUCCGGUUGGGUGAAACAGGGCAUCUUUCUUCUAACAUCGGCCUUUCUCCCCAACCGAUUUCCAUCUCUGUCUAAACUGAACCCUGACUCAGAUACAGCAGCUUGAUCCUCGAUCAUAACUCCAUAUUGGGCCUCAACAGGCACGGCAACAACAACGGUCACAACACUGGCAGCGGUAGGAACAACGGCAAUAGCAACGGCUCGGUCCUGAACUUACUGACCCAAAAUGCUAUCCAGAGACUCAAGCGGCCAAACAAUCUCGACGAAACUAGGAUCAUUCGGUGCUGCUACACUCUCAGUACCAGCCAACGGCAGUACUCUCACACACGCACCGAACUGAGCCUGCGCUCUACCUCGGGUACCAACUCUUGUCAGCAUCCUACCCCGAGGUACAGAUCCUAUCGACCUCUUCCAAGGAGUUCUCCACCCCUGGUCACUCAUCCUACAGGCUCUUUAUCGACGCCUGUUUUCCGAUUCCAACAUCAUGUUAGAAUUUGAGUGACCCCACAAACAAGCUACCAAUCAGCUAUCAACCACAUGCAUCAGCAUAUUAAAAGCCUUUCCUACUAACUAUCCCAAGACUCAUCGCACCUUAUCACUCCAUAUACAGACCAUGCUCAGAUACCACUUAAACGGGGAUGUCACGCCCCGAACCCCGAGCGCGCGCACAUCCCACUACGGUCGAUCAAAAAUGCGACAUCCCAGGAUAUGUCGCCGACCCAUUCAUUUAUUUACGCAUGCGGAAGCGAAACAAAUCCCCUGACAACAUUUAACUUGGGAUAGAAAAGCAGGCAAUCAAUCACAAUACCAAACACUCAUUUACAAACACAAAAGGGUUUAAAUACAACACUGGACUUUCUACAAAAUAGACCAGCUCGACAAAAGGGGAACUAUCCUACAACCAACUAGCAGGACACGCUCUCCAACCCUUAUGACUUCACCUCUGCAACUCCUCAAGACCAACCAAAGCUAUCUGGCCGCUCCGUCCACCAGGGACCUGAAAUUUUAAUCCCACAACCGGGAUGAGACGAUGUCUCAGCAAGUUCAACCCCCUAAACCCCUAUUAGAAAGAAAAUACGCCCCGGGUGGCCUAGCCACAUCACACAUAAGACUUACCUCGCCUCAGCCUUCAUCUGCAGGUUAGCACAAUUUAUCUAAUUCAACCACGUACAAUUAUGAUAACCAAACAACCAUGUCACAAUCACAUUAUCAAAACAAUCCAACCACUCGGAUCGUCUCAGCGAUCAAUCGACUCGGCCGAUUACAUGUCAUUCUAGCAAAUCAAUCAUUGCUCUCAAUCACGGCCCUAUAGGAAGGUUUAACAAUCAGUGGCAAUCACGGCCCCACUCGGCAUGACCUCUCCUAGGUGGUACAUCACGGCCUCACUAGGCACGACCUCUCAUAGGUGGUUCAUCACGGCCCUAUUAGGCACGACCUCUCAUAGGUGGUCAAUCACGGCCUCACUAGGCACGACCUCUCAUAGGUGGUACAUCACGGCCUCACUGGGCACGACCUCUCAUAGGUGGUUCAUCACAGCCUUACUGGGCACGACCUUUCCUAGGUGGUACGUCACGGCCUCACUGGGCACGACCUUUCCUAGGUGGUACGUCACGGCCUCACUGGGCACGACCUUUCUUAGGUGGUACAUCACAGCCAAUCUCCCAUCAAUUUCUACACUUAGGAUUUAUCAAGAAUCCCUAUUUAUCACAAUCACACUCCAUUUGCCACAAUCAAUCAUCAAAUUCAAAUUUUAAAUACACAGCAGCGAUCAGCACGAAAUUCUGAGAGAGUAAGGUUCCAAACUAAUUUUCAGAAUUUAUUAAAUAAUUAAAUUUAUUCCGAAAAUUAAUUAAAUAAUAAUAUCCAUAUUUUCGUCAUCCAUACCCAAUUUAUAAUAUCUAACCAUCAAUUUCAAAAUCCGAACGCAUAAUAGCGAUCGGCACGAAAUUCUGAGCAAUCGGGAUCAAAAAUAAUUUUUCCCUUUUUUUUUUAAUAAUAAUAUUUUAAUAAUUUUGGAAUAUGAUAUAAUAUUAUAAAUUCCAGAAUUUCGAAACAAUUAAAUAAUUCAAAAAUAAAACCCUAUUAUGUCCCAUCAAGGUUUAUUAUUAAAUAAAUUCUCUUAGCCUUUAAUUAAACACACUUUAAAUUAAACAAACCUUUUAAUCCAAAUCACAAUUAAAUAAACUAAGAUAUCCACAUAAACUUGCUUAACUUAAAUUAAGCACACUUAGGGCAUAAUUAACCGUCUAAUCAAGAUUUAGUGAGCUAAACUCACCGGAUUAGCGAGCCGAGCGGAUCAAAACGACGGGAUCGACGCGAGGAUCGACUUUCCUCAAAGCGGGCCGAGCAUCCGGGCUCGGGAAGGCGGCCAAAACGGGCCAAAUAGGUGCUGCCAUACCCAUUUUUGCAGCUACUGCUUUGGGGUUGGAGGAGGCGGAGCCGGCGCCGGUUCGGGUCGGAAAGGGCGGAGGAGGACCGGCGGCAGCUUGGGGCGGUGGCUCAUGGCUGCCCGGCAGGCUCCCCGGCGACGGCUGGUGGCUCGGGACGACGGACGAUGGCUGCUGGCGUGCGAACGAAGCACAGACGGGAGGGCGGAGCAACUCGCACACGAGACGGCGUGCGUGCGGACGAACGGCGACUGCAACGAGCUCCGGCGACGGGCGAGCUGGUCGGGUGAGUGGCGAACGACGGGCUUCUCUGGUUCGCUACUGAAUCUCGAAGCCUUCAAGGCACACCCAAGAAAGAGGAAAGAUGGCCGAACAGCAGGGGGAGAGAGGGGCGGAGCUGGGAGCGGCUGGACAGGCGACGGCCUCCGG
rnacentral:lncRNA from 1 species